CACUUUCUAAUGCAGAGAAGAUACACCGGUCUACAAAUGGUCCGAGUUCUUUUACCCGUAAUUCAUACAAGUCAAGUGUGAACUUGUCUAACCUUAUCAUCUCCCUGCGGCGGGUGCGCAGAGUUCCCUCUACAUAAUUUAAUGCCCUGCUUAACUUCUCAUCUCCAAGUUGAGCUUCAAUUUUGUUGUUGCAAGAAACCGAAGGAACUUGAUUAAAGAAAGUUUUACCAAAUUCCAAAAUUGGGAAUGUACGCCAGGCUCGUUCCCAUGCUUGCGACAAAACAGUUGUUUGAACUACUUGUUUAAAUGAGAGGAAUGACAAAAUACAAUGCAGUAUUGGUUCCGGCAAAUUAGAUAUCCUGUCCAUGCUGCUAAGCACCUCCUCCAUAAUAACAAUAUCAUCACCAGAUUCCCUGAAUCAGUAGCAACAUCUUCCUUCUAAGUAUGCUAAUUAAAUUGAGACAACUGAGUACUAAUAAUAAUAAGAAUAUUGGCUGGAUUCUAUCAAUUUAAUUCAAUGUAAUAAAGAAAAUAAAUAAUCCUAACAAAAACUCUUUUGAAUUGAACAUGUUUAAUUUCUUUUUUGUACGAGAAGAGACACUGAAACUUUCACUUUCACCGGAAAAAGAAAAAUCAGCCUAAAACAGAACUGAAUUAUUUAUAAAAGAAAAGAAAGGAAAAGAAAAGAAAAAGAGACACGUUAACACAGAACCAAUAUGGAUGAGGAUGAUAAAAUACCUAUUCAUCCGAUCGAUCAAUCGUGACAGUCCAACAGCGACAGCGACGGCAACCGAAACAGCAGAACUGUCAAGAAAGGAUUGAUCUGCUUUAACUAUGUUUUGUAUAGGCUUAAUUUUGAGGAUUCCGAAUCCAAAACAGACAAAGUCACAACAGCAAAAUUAUGUAGGCUCAGUCUGCCCCGUGUAUAUAUAUUUUGAAAAUUCCAAAUCCAAAUCGGACACGUCCUUCUGCUUCUCCUAACGCGAAUCGGACAUGCGGCUAGUCGCUACGCAACAGUAAUUAAGCUUUUUGGAGAUAAGAGUGGUUUCGUUUCCAUCCAUUUUAUGUACUUCCAUCUGUUAGUUGAAGAACUAGUUUGUUACAAAGUACGCAAAUCUAACCCUGACAACUUCGGAUGACGCAAUCUUUUGUCAUCAAAUAGGCUUUUGAGUCUUGACUCUUGACACCCCCUUCAAAAUUCCGAACUGCUUAAAUAAUCGAAGUAAUUUAUGAAUAAUGAUAAAUAUUUUAAAAAUUUUAUCCCAAAGAAAUUCAAGUAAAUAUUUAAAUAUUAUUAUUCCUUGAAAAAAAAUUUAACACUAUCUUAUUUCAUAAUUUGUAUUAUUCUUUAAAUUUUAAUUAAAGAUAUGUUCUUGAGAAGAGUACAAAAAUUUAAAGUAAUGGAGAUAAAAAUUAUAUAUUAAGAAAAAAUAAUUUAAGAUUUUUAUAUUUUAUAAAUAAAAAUUUUAGCAUAUAAUUUUGUAUUACAUAAGUUAAUUUUAAUAUAUACAUUUGUAUUUUAUAAAUGAAAUAAAUAAAAUUUAGGAGAGAUGUUAUAAAAAUUUUAAGGGUGAGGCUAUCAUAAGUGUUGACAUUUAAUUUCGGACAGUUUGACUCAAUAAAAUAUUCAAUUACCCCAAUUUCUCGUGACUCCCAUCAAACAAAGAUUUAAAUUUAUAGUUUUCCCUUUAGGCCACGACUACAAUGGUUCAGGUGCAUUAAUAGAUCAGGUGAAUAAAAAAUUAUAAAAAAAUUUUACACCGUUCGAUGCAAAUUCAAAGUAAAUCAAUGGUUAGAUAAUUGAAAAAGAAGAAGCGGACAACGGGAGAGAAGUUAAGCGUGGGCCCUAUCUAACAAGGGUCGUCAGAUUGUUUUACCAAUUACCACCUUUAUCUCUGUUUGUGACGGCACCAUUGUAGCAAACCGUGGCAGAACAGUAACACUAGUGAUGUUAAUUUAUUAUUGUUUUAUAAAAUAUAAAUUUAAUUAGCUUUUAAUAUUAAUGAGUUUAGGAAAUACAAAUAAUUAAAAUUUUAUAGUGUAAAACAAAUUAAUAAUCACGUUACUAACUUAUUAAUAUCUUGUAUGAUUUGCGAAUUUGAAAAAAAAAAAUCCACAAAUAUCGAUAGUUAUCCAUAUCCAUAUUAAGCAGCUAAAAUUGGAUAUGGAUGAAUGUGGAUAUUAUGGAUAAUUCUAAAUAUUUACCAUCUUUAACUCAAAAUAGAAUUAUAAUUACAAUUCCAAUCACAAAUUCAUCCCAAUUACAAUUAUUAUUAUGAUUUCAAUUUCAAUUACAAUUGCAAUUCCAAUUACAAUUAUAAGUUUAAUUUCAAUUCCAACUACAAUUACAAUUCCCAUUACCAUUACAAUUUCAAUUCAAUCAUAAUUAUAACCAUUGACUAAUUAGAUUGAUGUACAUAAACUAUGUUAAUAUUAUUUUAAUUUUAAUAUUAUUAUUGCGUUUGAAAUAAUAUUUGUUAUGUAUUUAUAUUAUUUCUUUAAUAAUAUUCAUAUAAAAACACUAAAAUUAACAUUUAGGUAGGUAAUCUACCAUCUUAACUCUUAGGAAAAGUUUCAUUUAUCAUCCUUUUGGAGCCAAAACUACCCACCUAGUUUUUUUACGCAAAAAUUUCAUUUCUAAUGAUGAUAGAUUGUUGUUACCAUCAUCAUCAUCAUCCGGACUCUUGUGUCGCGGCUACCAACUUAUUCAUAAUUUUCAUCUCAAUAUUAAUUAUGAAAGAUUUGGGACAUUGCAUUUUGGAACUUGCGAUAUACAAUUUUUAGGCUUUUUUUUAAAAUUUAUUUAAAAUCUGAAUAGAUCUGGCCAAAUUUCCAUUUGAGGCCAUUAAUUUUCCUUUUAAGCAUACCUCACGAUCCUUCUAAAAGAGACAUUAAAAUAAAUGUAACCAUAUUUGAAAUAAAACAUGAUGGCUAUAAUAUAGUAAUUAUGGAGAGCUUGGUUUGAAUCUAAACAACUACAUUUAUUCUUUUUAGAAUAUAUUUUAUCAAUUUUUGUAAGAUUAUCUUAUAUUACUAUAUUGAACCAAGUUUCCACUAAUCUAAAGUCAUGGGUCCUCCAUUUUAUUGUUCAUUACCUUCCCCUAAUGACUUUGAGUCUAUAAAGAGGUCUUAUAAGGGUUAUUUCCACCUAACCCCCAAAUCUUUCAACAUUUUCCACCUUGCACCCAAUCUUUUCAACAUUUUCCUCCGUUAAUUUGACCGUUAUUUUUAACGGAGCUAUUUGAAAGUUAAUGAAAUGUCUGAAAUACCCCUUAUCUUGAAUUAGAAAAGAAUUAAAUGAGAUAAAAUAUUAAUCCAAUAAUUAAUAUUUACAUUAAAAAUUCUUAAUCAAAAGUAUUUAAUAAUAAUCCCAUCAAUUAAUUUAUCAAAUAAAUUUAAUUUAUCAUUAUCAAAUAAUAUUUAGGGCAUGAACUUCCAAAGUUGCCCUUUGACCGUUAGAAUAAAUGGUCAAAUUAACGGAUUUGGGUGUGGAUUGAGCAUUGUUGAAACAUUUGGGUGCGCGGUGGAAUAUGUUGAAAUAUUUGGGGGCAUGACGGAAUUAACCCGUCUUAUAAUUCAAAACAUAUUAAUAAAUUAUUGGGUCUCUACUCUUUAGAUAGUGCUCGAUUUCUUCACCACAAAAAGAUCUCAUUUAGUUUUAGAGUAGUUGGGACCUUUGUUCGACUCCUAACACCCACAUUUAUUUAUUUAUUAAAUGCAUUUGAUCAUUUGUGCAAGAUUAUCAUGUAUUACUAAAUCGAAACAAUCCUCCCCUAAUUUAAAUCCAUAGGUUCACCAUUUAGUGAUAGAAAUAAUAAUUAAAUUAACUAAAAAUAUUUUUUUAUUUUUUAGGUUUAGAAUCCAUCCAGUAUAUACAUACACAACCAAAUGUACAUGUGUAUGUAUAUGUAUGUGUGUGUGUGUGUAACAAUACUAAGGUUCAAUAUUUCAAUGGCCAUUUAAAUUAGGAAAUGAUAUUCAUGCCAACACUAACUUAGAGAAUAAAGUUUUUAUACUACCUCUAAGGCUUCUUCAUUAACACUACUUUGAUUUAAUUUCUUCAAUAGGUUUCAUGAUAUAAUUUCGAAGCCUCUUGCAUCCAAUUCUCGCUCUACAAUCUUAUGCUCUACAUGAUUCAAUUGUUUAUCUCCGUUGAUUUCAAUUCAGUUGCCAUCCAUUGAAAAAAAGGUAUCACUUGGAAAAAAAAAAUUAAUUGGAAUUAGGAUUAUAUUAGUGUAAAGAGUCAUUUUCUUUUAUUUAAUGACUUAAUUGACUAAUUUCAAUCAGUUAAGUUGUUAAUUCAUUUGUUUUUUCAACUUGAUGAAAAUUUUCAUUCAUUAUUAAGUUAUUAAGCUAAUUUUUUUAGCUAAUAUCAUUAAAAGAUAUUUUCCAAAAUAUCCAUAUCUAAUUAAUUAAUUUUUAUCUCUACAUAAAUAAAAUUUAAUAAUUAACAUUAUUACCUAUUUCUAUAACUUGUGAUAAUAUAUUAUUAUUUUUAUCUUUUUAUUUUUUUAAUUAAAAUUAUUUAUCUUCGUAAUUUUUAUGAAUUUUUUUAUAAAAACAUCAUAAAUUAUAAUAAAAUUAAUUAACAUAUACUAAUUUAUAAUAUUAAAGGGUUGUAUUCUACUGAAUAUAAUUUAGAUUAUAAUAAUAUAUAAUCUUAUUUAUGUUUUAACAUUUAUAAUUUAUAAAGACACAAAUAUAAAAAUACGAGUUUCAAAUUUUUUAAUUUAAAAAAUAAAUAAUUUAGUAAUUUUUGAUAAUUUUUUGCAGUUUGGUGGAGGGAAAUAUUCGAAUCUGUCCAAAACUAACCGUUUUGCUUUUUAUUUAUUUAUUUAUUGUUGCAUAACUUAUUCAUUACUUCCAAUUAAUUAAAACAAUUACAAUUCAUUUUCUUAAACACAUAAAAUAACAUAAAUUUUGGUCAAAAUCAUUCAAAAUUAAAAUUUAAUUUCUUUCACAAAAUAAUUUUAUCCUAAUUGAAUUAAUUAAAUAUUUUAUUUUAUUGGGAACAUUUCUUACAAAAUUUGUACCUCAGUGUUCACCGCUUGAGACAAUAAAAGCACAAUUACAGUACUUGUGACAUGCACAACAUAUUAUCUGUGACAUUAUUGAGCAACAGUUGUGAUAAUAAGAGAGUAACUAGAGAACUAGUGACAUGGUGUACGGAACUUGGAACACAAACACAAAAACAAGGGCAGUUGUAAAUUCAACCGGAAUAACCGGUUACUUUGCAAUGCUUAUUGCACACAUGUCAGAAUUUAAUUGACUUUAUGUCAUGCCAUAAUGAACCAUGCAUACACAGGGUGCAGAGUAGGAAGACCCCUUUUCCUUUAAACUCCCAUUUUAAUUGCUAAAAAUAUCCUCUUUAUAUCUAUUUUCUUCAUCAAUCUCAAUGAACACAAGAGUUUUGCAUGAUUAUAUCCUUCGCAAAAUAAUUGCUUACCCGUAAACUUAAUAAAUGAUCCUUAAAAGAUUAUUACUUUGGUAAUUAAUAUAAAUUUAUUCAUUAGAAAGUCUUGUACUGUAGAAAGUUCCCCAAUUUUGACUUGGUAUUAUGCAAAUAGACUUUUUGAGUUUCGUGCAAAAAUUAAUUCAAUACCACCCUUUUGCAAUCAAAAUUUGUUAAUUUGGUACAAGUUUUUUAGUAGAUUCUUGCACUCCUCCAAAAUUAUCUUAAAAUCUCUCUUUUAAUUAUACUUACCUUCAUUUUAAUAAUAUUCUUUUUUUUUCAAUAAAUAAACACUCUUUUCAUUUUAAAUUGUUUAAAUUCUUUACAAACUCAAAACACUAGCUUUUCCAAAAUAUAAUUAAUCAAUAUGAAUAAAUAAGAAAAAAAAAGAAGAAAAGAUUGGAUUUUUUUUUUUUCAGCAUGACAUAAAUUCCAAUAACAAACUCAUGUUGGCGAUUUUGAUUGGCAAAGGCGAACGACGUGCCACAGUCAAGUCAAUGUUUGCUAUUGCAAGAUCAUAUGGCUAAAUUGUUUUGGGUAAGCUACCCUUUUAUGCCCCAUCUUUCUUCUUCAGUAUCAAAUGGAUUAAAAAAAAAAAAGGAGCUGCUUAGGGAAGUAAAAAUUGAAUUUGUGCAUGGUAUAAUUAGUACUCUUUACUUUUAAGGUCGUUGGCUACUGGCCAACCUUAAAACUCUACGGUAACAAUUCACCAUCAAGUUUAUUAGCUACAAACAAUUAAACAAAAAAUGUCAUUUGAGUAGAAAAGAAUCCAGAGUGGCUAGAUAAAGUAACUAAAAGAAGAUACGAUAGGGGUUUUAAAAAAUAAAAUAUGGGUUUUAUACAAAUUGAGAUAAUCCUAUUAAUAUUUGGAAGAAACCUGUGGUGCAACUGUGGUACCGUGCCACAAUUACAUCCAGCCGUUGGAUGCCAAUGGACCCCACCAAUCCAAGUGCAUCCAACGGCUGGAUGCAACUAUGGCACGGUACCACAGUUGCACCGUAGCCUGAUCCUAGUAUUUGUUCUUAAAUAUCAUUCUAAUACAGCAGUGGGCUAAUGAGAUUAAUAGGGGGACGCAGUGCUCCUAACACUGAUCUAUUAAGGAUUUUAAAUUAGCGGCAACGUGGGCCGAAUUUAAUUUGAUCAAUUAAAAUAAGCGGGUGUUCAAAUUCGGCCCACGUUGCCACUCCUUUAAUAUCUAGAGUUGCAGAGAAGGAUUUAAAUUAGUGGCGACGUGGGCCGAAUUUAAUUUGAUCAAUUAAAAGGGGGUGGGCAAAUUCGGCCCACGUUGCCACUCCUCCAAUAUCUAGAGUUGCGGAGAAACAAUUUAACUUCAGUAUAUUCAUUAACAAGAUAAAAACAAAUAACGACCAUAUAAGUAACAACGAGAGAUUUAUUGAUGACAGAUGUUUUACAAUGGCUUUAACAGAUAAACAAAAUAAUAUGACUUGAAACAUUUUCCCAGUGGUAUUUUUUUUUUUUAAACAUUCAUGUGAAAUAAUAUUUACUGGCAGAUUUUUUAUGUAAGCAUGAAGACAAUGACAGCGCAAGUCUACUUUUGUUUUGUGAAAUGAUUAAGUACAGUCACUCAUUUAUUCAAGAAAAGAUUAUUGAAAUCUAUUUUUGAUAAUUAUGUAUGGAUGAAAUAUAUUUGGGUUACUAUAAUUAAAGGCAUUACAGUCUAAAAACAAUCCUCUAAUCUCCAUGAUUAUUUUUAGAAUAAGAUGGUCACUUUAAUCAAAGGUCAUAAUUAAUCUACCAACAAUAAAAACAGUACAAUAUCAAUGCCAACGGCCCAAAUUCGGUGACCGACCGACCACGUUUUGGACACCAAUUACAUGAACAAAAAGGUAAAAAUUUGAGAUUUAUGUUGGACGCCAAUUAUGGUUCUUGUGGAGGACGCUGUAAAUGGUUUUGCAUGUUAUGGAUUGUAUGAAGAGUUUAAUCAUUAGCUUCAUCCUGCUUAGGUUCAGUAUGUUUCUAUUGAUUCCUUUGUCUGUUUCCUUUGAGAUGGAGAAGGUGAUAAUGGAUUUGUAAUUAGAUGAGUUAUUGCAUUGUUGUUGUAUUAUUAUUUCCAUCCUUGGACUUCUGUUUAGUCUAUGCGUACCAAAAUAUGUUAUUAGAAAGGAAAUGUUGACUGUGCAUCUGCAGAUUGAAGUUUUGUUAUAUUAGUUUAUGUCGUGGCUUGGUCAUUAUUAGCAGCCAAUGUCUUUCUUUUGGAUGAAGAGGUACGUCUCUACAAAAAGAGUAGUGCAUAGAUUGCUGAUCCAUUGGACAGAUCUGACCUGUAAGCAUAUUUGCUGCAUGCUUGGGUACAAACGUCAUCUUUGUGUACGUAGAUUGUAUUGCGGCGGUAUUGUAAUGCAUGAUGCGGUCCUUCAUUUUCGUUGUACUUAUGGUUGCUUUCUUAAUGCCUUAAUGAAUAAUGUUGUUUUUUUAUCCUAUUUUAUCAUGUUUGUUUGUUAUCUAUUUCCCUAAGUCGCAUGUAUAUAUGCUAUUGGCCAAAAGAUAAUCAAAAUAUAGGCUUUGAGAAAACUAUUUAGUCAUUUACAUUUCAUUAUUUUAAUUGGAAGAGCAAAAUAAUUCUUCGAAAGAGUUUGGUUGCUGAGGUAUGCAUUAGGUUGUAUGUGGAACAAUGUGUUUUAUGGAAAGAAUAUAGAAAAUGCCUUUAUAGUAUGUUGCAUUGUCAUACUUAAUCCGUUUAAUUGCUUUUCCUUGUCCAUUGAGAUAUCUGUGAACCUCUAUCACCAUAAAAUCAAAUUGAAUGGUGGAAUGACAUUGCUUUUUGUUGGUAGGCACUAUUUUAGAUUUAUAACUGUGGAUUUUCAUAGGCUGUCAAUGUGAAAGGUCUAUCUGUAGACAAAUUCCUUGCACAGCAGAAGGGCAACUGGGGCUCCAUUGUUUAAGGAGAUCAAAGUAGGAGCCAGGUUAUUGUCAUGCUUCGUAAUGAAUUUAAUCAUCCCCAGUUGACGAAUAAUGUUGCUGAUAGCGUCCUGUUGUGUAGGAAUUACCUGGUAUUUCGUGGCGGUUGAAUGAAGUUAGAACUGUGGCAUAUGGGAAUUUUUUAUAAGAAGCUGAUCAUAAUCUAUCAUAUGGGCAACAAAUAGGAAAACAGUUAAUUUUGUGUAAAUUAGCAUUGUACUAUUGUAAUGCAUUUGUGUUACUCCAUAAAAUUUCAACUAGUUUGCUUGUAAUGAACAUUUCAGUGUAUAAUGACGUUGUAAGGGGUAGGCGCGAAGAUUUGUGAAAAUUUGAACGGAGUUGAUUAUGAGCAAGUACAUGUGCUGGAGAUUUUUUGUUGAAAUUUAUUAUGGCUCCCAUGUAUCCGGUGGCCUUAGUAAUUUGCAUAGGUAAUUGACAGACAAUGAUUUAUUGGGUUGCAUUAUCGGUUUCUAUGUAAGGGAUAAGUCGGUGAUUGACAUCGAUUUGAGUUCUUGAGAAGUUGGAAUUCACUGAGUUCACAUGGAAAUUAUAUGAGAGACCUCUUGCAACAUAAGCAACCUGUAAGUUACAAAAAGCUAAUAGAAUCCAUAGUUUCUUUCCCUUCCACUACUUCCUUCUGCAACGCUAGUAUCUACAACAGUUUCCUUAGUAAUCUCUAUAUAGCAUGCUUUCAGAUAUAACAUGCUUUCCGCUUUUCACUCUGACCUACCUUCAUUCUUGGACAAAGUUACACAUUAUCUUUUUAGUCUGAACCUCACUUUCGAUUUUCUGCUCCGUCUAAUCUCAAAGCACACGAACUACAUUCAUUACAAAAAACAAUUUUCAUAUUUGACGAUUUUUUUCAAAUAACUCAUAGCCACUCCUAUACUUAUAGCUACAGUUAUAUUGCCACUUCAUACAAACUUACCUGAAAUUUCCAACAGGUUCUGUUGUUCAACUCACCAACGCGGAUAAUUCAUAACCAAAAUGGCCAACUCUACAGUUAUUUUCAAUUUUUUCGCUGCCUCAAAUUGCACGAACAUUUGUUAAAACCCUAAAGUACCAUGUAACCUGUCUUAACCGGUUGCCAAUUUAAAACAUAAUUAAAGAUAUCAAACUGGAGCCAUUAGAUCAUGUGCCCAUAUAUCCUACGGCUAUUGCAAAUGAUGACAAAAUAAGGGGUAUCUUCCCCCAACUGGAAGGCAGCCGAGUCCAUCCAAAUUAUAUUCUAUGCUAAGUUUUCUAAUUUGAUUUUUUAUUUUAAGACUCUUUCAUUGAACAUAACAUAGAUCAGAAAAAAGAAAAAGAAAAAAAAGUCUUUUAUUUAUGCUGAUAUGCCAUUCUAAUUUCAAGUGUCACUGUUUACCAACUGAGUUUCAUCAGCUUCCACUCCAGAUUCUUGAUAUGCCAUUCUAAUUUCAGGUGUCAUUAUUUACCAAUUGAGUUUCACCAGCUUCCACUCCAGAUUAUUCACCGACACACCAACUUCAUCUAAAGAAAAACCCCCAGUUGAGAGACUGGUAUUAGGGUAUUCAAUCCCAUUGGCCUGUUGGGGGGGGGGGGGGGGAAGCACUAGUUAAACAAUUCAAUUUACAUGGUAUGGUAAAUGAAGUAUUAGCAAAUGAAAACAGAGUACAGCAACAGAAACUUACACCUACGAUCUUCCAGCCCAUGUCAAACUGAUAGGCUAUUGGCUCGAAGCCACAGCACUCCACAACAGCUAGUGUUGACUCACCUCCAACAUAAGGCACGCCAAAGCAUCCAGAGGCCAGGCCUAGAGUCCCUCUCCGAGAGCAGUCAUUACACUAUUGUACAUAAAAUUGAAUCAUAUCAUAAGCAAACAACAAAAUAUGUUAUGACUAAGAAGGAUUGCACAUACAUUAAUAAGACACAAGCAGCCAUCAACAAUAACCAGAACCAAAAGCAUAGGCAGGAAUUGCUAUUAGAUACUUGAAAUUGGUACCUUAAUUGCAGCCUAAAUUGGUGACAAAUUAGCUAGGUCAAUUUCACAUUUGAAUUGAAGGAUGCAUAAUUGACUCCCAAGACCUGGGUUAAUUUGUACCAACCAAUAUGUUCGGAAAAUGCUUGCUUGUGUGAUAUGCAUGAAUGUGUCAAUUUCUUUAAGAAUGGAAUUCUUGUCAAUGACAAUUCAAUGCUCUAAUAAUAAUGCUCGUAGAAGAUCUCAAUUACUUGUUUUAAAGCAUCAGCUAUUGGUGCUGCUGCCAAUUGUGUUUCCAUAAACCAGUCAUUAGAGAACUAUUAAUGCAUCUAAAUCAAUCAAACAGUGGCUGAUGUGCAUGCCGCGAACAAACAUGAUUAGGUAUAGAUUGCUACAACUAAUAGUUUUUGUUCUCGGGGCUUAGUUUUUCGUAGUAGCAUUUAAGAAAGAUUAAGUAUUACGUGAAUGGAAUUCGAAUUGACUAGCAGUGGUACUGCCCAGAUCUGAAGUGCAUUUCAACAACGAGUUUCUAUGAUAACAGACACCAGAUCUGAAGUGUGUACACAAAACUCGUAAAAAUAACAUCCGAAAGAAAUAUAUCUAUUAUACCUGAAGUGAAACCUUGGAUCCAACGAAAAGAGGGAUCCAUUUGCUGUGCUCCAAACGGCAGCCCUCUGCGGUGCACUUGAACUGAAAAAAAAAUUUAAAAAAAAUUAAAAAAAAAAAAAGAAAUCCCUAAGGAAGAUAGUAAACUUAUUACCUUCAGCCAGUACGGGAAUUCCGUAUCCUCAAAACCUGGUUCCAUUCUCGCAACUUUUUCAAGUUGAGCGGAAAUUUUCAGAGAAAAGCGCUCGACUCCCAUGGCUUUCGCGGUGACUGGAUGGAGAAUUGGAGAAGAAAAUGUCAUUUGAAUCUUUGAGUUUUAUAGGGCUGGGCCUUACUCGGUUCGAGUCGGUUCUGGAAACCAAUCGGUUCUUUAAAACUGAAACCAAACACGAACCGAAUCAAAUUAAUUCGGUUCGGUUCAGAUCGGUUCAAUUUUUCCCCUUUCUAAUUACUCAAAAUUUUCAGCCUAAAUUUAAUUCUUUUUACAUCCUAAUUUAAAUAUAACCACACAAAACUUUAUAUAAAAUUUUCAUGUAAUUACAAUUAAUCAAUAUUUUUUAAAACGAAUUUUAAAAUUUAGAUGAAUCAUCUUCAAUUUCAUGAUAGACAGGAGACUCAUUCUCAUCUUGAAUUUUGUCUUAUUUUAAAAUUUGAACUCUUGCUUGAAGACUUAGAUAUCUGAUAAAAUGGAGAAAAUUAUGAAAUAAGUUGCUUUUACAAAAUUUACUAAACACUAUUUUUAUUGAAAAUUAUGAAAUAAGCAGCUUAUUAAAUUUCAACCGUAAUACCAAACGGAUCCUAAUUUAAAUUUAGAAAAAUAAUUGCUAAUCCCCAAACAAAAAUUCGAGUCAGUAACCUCUCAACAAUUGACUGCAAGCUUCAUAAAAUUCCAGUCUCUGCCCAUUGAGUGUAGCAGAUAUUGUUAGUAUAGCCGAUGUUGUAGAAUUGAUGUUAAUGUCACAUUUCGUCUGGCUUGUUUCAGCCUUAGCAAUUAAUGUUGAAGGUGUUUGCUGUUGAAUGAAAUUGAAUGAAAAUUUACAAAUAUGAGAUAGCUUCAAUUUUUUUUUUUCAAUUCAGUUAGCUUGUUGCCUUGUUAAAGCUCUGGCCACUGAGAAAGUUAUACAAAUGAGAUUGAAAAAAGGGGAUCUCAAAUCAUAUAAUCAUCAAAUUAAAGGAAUGAAAAUGACUAACAAUAUAAUUCAAAAAGGUAUAUAUAGAUUUGCCAUCCAAUUGACGCUUGCUAUAUCAUCGUUCCUCGCAUAUUAGCCAUAAUUUUGAAAUAUUUAGGAUAAAUAUCAAAUUAUUCCACUCAUGAAUUAACUAUCUUCAAAUUAUCCCCUUAUUUUUUAAAACCUAAAUUUACUCCUCAAAUCUUAUUAUUUCUCCAUUAAUUUUAAUUGUUAAAAGGGUAAAUUAGUAUCUGUAAAAUUUGAAACAUUCAGUAAUCGAAAGAAAUCAAGCCUUUCUAUUUCUUCACUCUUUUAUAUUUAUUAUUAGAUAAAAUGACUAAUACCCCUGGCUUGUAUUUUGGAGAACAAAGAUACUUUAACAUAAAUUAAAUUAAUUUUAAUUUAAUUUCAAAAAAUUAAAAUUCUCAAAAUUCAUUUGUUAAUGUUCAUUCAUCUUCAUCUAGUAAAACUCACUUGCUUACUAUUCAUUCGUUCAUUCAUUCUCAUCUAAUAAAACUCACUCUCUUCUGUAAAUAAAUGCAGUACAAUUGCAACAUUCUCUCUCCCAAAAUUUUUGUUGAUAGAUAAUUUUAAAUAAACUAUUCGUAAAUAAAAACUAAAGUAAAACUAAAAUCCAAUUAAAAUCUGAGCAAGUUUUGCAAUAACUCAAUUAGUUUUGAAGUCAAAAUUCCAUAUUUGAAAAUAGUCAGAAUAGUUAUCGAUUAUAGUUGCAUAUCAUGGUCAAGAAAAUUCUAAGAACUCAAAGGCCAUGCAUCCAUGGCAGCGCGGCCAUGGAUACCAAACCCAUGGCUGCUUGAUAUCGUUAAUUAACAAAAAAAAAAUUGUUAAAAAAGAGAUAUUUUUGUACUUUAACAGGUCAACGACAGUGAAUCGUUAUAGUUAACUAUUUUUAGGAUAAUUUGAAAUUUUCAAAAGUAGAGAGAUAAUACAAAGAUAAUCAAUUCACAGGUGGAGUAAUCUGAAACUCACCUAAUCAUGUAUAUUGAAUAGAUGUAUGGUUGAAUUUUAUAUAACUUUUUGCAUUUUAUUUCUUCUGUUUUAAAUAUAUAUAUAUAUAUGAGAAAUUUAAUUAUAACCUAGAUUACUUACAUGAUUAGCGCAUAACUAUUUGCAAACUACCUACGUUAUGCCCAAAAUUUUGCAAUAUUAAUUUUGAUGAGUGAUUAAGACAGAAAAUUGUCUGCAAUAGGUAUAUAUCAAAUAGAAAUAGACUACUCCAUUGAAAAUAGCUUUUGAAUUAUCUUGAAAUUGAAAGGCCAUUCAUAGAUUUAGUGCUCUUUUACUUUUGUUGUAUUCAGCAUUUGCCUGUUUCUCUCAUGAAUGAUCCACAAGAUUAAGAAACACUCCUGAAAAUGCUUUCCUUAAAGUGAUCUUAACUCAAUGAAUAUGGCAAUAUGAAAAGAUGCAAUUGAAUUUGCAGUUAACAAAAAGCAUAGUAGGAUUCACUUAAUAGCCUAAAAUGGUAAGAAUUAACAGCCACAGUGAUUUAUUUCUUCCAAAGCUUAUGACAGAUAUCCUUCCAAAUCUUGAUUGCAAAUCACAAUGGCCUAAUUAGUCUAUUGCAAAUCAUGAACAGGUCCACUUUAAGAAAAGGGUGUUUGAUAUUCUGAACCUAAUCUUCCAAACAAACAAAUAAUAAUGUCGAGCAAAGGUACCUAGCUGCAAUUGUGUUCUUGUACAAUGCACAAUUAUCCAUUUUGCUGAUUCUGGAUUUGUUUGUUUCAAUCUCAUAUUAUUCAACAUUUUGUGAUGGUUCACUAUUUUAAGUAAACUUGACUAUCACAUUGUUUCACUUUCUGUUACUUUUGUAGUUUGUCAUGUCGUGUGAAUACUAUUAGCUAGUUAAAGGCCCUGCCAUAGCGAGAUGCACGAAUUGAAAUUAUGGCUCUGCAUAUGUGCUGUGAAAGCUACACGAGAUUACCAACAAAUGCGUACAUCAGCUAGCAGGGGCUGUUAUAUCCUAACUAAGAUUUAAGAUUUGGGAAUGCAGCUGCAUUAAAUAUUUGUUGAGAGAGUUUUGUCGCCUUAGUAGUCCUACCCAGCUCGAAUAUAGAUUAGGCGGGCACAAUAUAAUCUUCGGAUACCAGAUGGUUUAAUACACCAAAAAAAAAAAAAAACUACACAAGAUUUGUUGGGUUGAGUGCCACAGCCUUGUGAACUAAAUUACGGAAACUAGUGUAAAAAAUUAUUGCUUCUGCUCUUUGUUUAAACAAAUUUACCACUGGUAAUUGAUAUGUUGUUGGUAUUAAUGCGAGUCUUUUCUAUUAUUUAAGUUUUUGGAUAAGUCCUCUUGACGCAGCUCAAUUGGCAGUAAAUAUGCUUUGUUUAAUGUAUCCACGAUAACCUUGAAUUCAAGUAAUAAUAUAAAGCUCAGUGGCUGGUGUUUAGUGGGCGCUUUUUUUUAAAAAAAUUUAAUGACUUAAUUCCAAUCAACUAAGUUAUUAAGUUUUUUUUUUCAAUUUAAUGAAAAUUUUUAAUCAUUAAUCAUUAAGUUAUUAAGCUAUUUUUUUUUAUCUUUUCGUUUAAUCUAAAAAAUCUAAAUGAUAUCAUUAAAAAAUAUUCUCCAAAAUAUUCUUAUCUAAUUAAUUAAUUUUCAUCCUUACCUAAAUAAAAUUUACUAAUUAGUAUUAUUAUUUGUUAUCAGGAGAAAACAAGAAAGCACGUACGUGAGUUGCAUGACAUAAGCAAGAUGCUAUGAAGAUAUGAGAAUAAGAAGCAUGAUGUAAGUAAAAUAUCACGAAGAUAUGUGAGCAAGAAAGCAUGCAUGUGAGAAGCAUAAUAUAAGCAAGCUGUCAUAACAAUAUGAGAGCAAGAAGUGUGACAUAAGUAAGAUGUUAUGAUGUAGGAAGUUAUUUUAGGUAUUUUAAAAUUCUAGAAUUUUAAUAUUUUAUGACUUUCUAUUUUUAUCAGGAUCAACUAAGGUAUGAUAUUUAAUUAACUUAGGAAACUAUCUUUUGUUUCCAUUAUAAUUGUGAUUUAGUUCCUCUUUUUAAGUUAACUUAGGGAAGUGAGUUUACUCUAUUAUAGAAAAGUCUUAUUAUUAUUUUCAGCACUUCAAAUUCAAUUAUUCAGUAAAACUCUCUUUUUAUAAUUUCUUUUGGAAUUAUCUAUCAAAAUCUCUCUUGUAGAGUCGUUUGGAUUAGAGCAUCAUCUAAUCUCGCAUUACGUGUUAUUAAAAAUCUCAUUGAUUCAUUUGGAUUAGAACGAGAUCUAAUCACGCUUCGAUUAGAGCGUGACCUAAUUGCGUUGGCUUGGUCCAAUACUACAAUGAUAUCUAGCAUUUCUAUCCAAUCAAUUCCGCUUCCACUACACUCGCUCCAUUAUGUUAUGAAGAUGUGAGAGCAAGAAGCAUGCAUGUGAGCUACGUGACAUAAAUAAGAUGUCAUGAAUAUAUGUGAACUGAAAGCAUGAGGACAUUACGUAAGCAUGAGGUCAUGAAGCCAAAGUCAUCGCAGUUGCAAAGGAAGAAUCCAGAACCCGCUAUUUAAACCCAAAAGAAAAAUUUAGAAGUUUCAGAAAACCAAUUUAACGAGAAAUAAAUAUAGAUUUCGGAUAAAACUCUAAUUAACUUGUAAAAGUUGAUUAGAACAAGAAGUUAUCAAUGACUUAGGGCACCUAAAAUUAUAUUAUAAAUAAAGAGUUUUUCAUGCAUAUAAGACAGAGGCAAGAGUUAAGUCAGAAAAAAAAAGGAAAAACUUUUUUGUAUUUUUCAUUAAGGGCUAGUUUGGGAAUGUUGUACCUUUUAAAAUAAUUAAUUUUAACUGUGCUGUAGAAAUAAUCAGCUGUGAAGAGAAUCAGUUAAGUGUUUGGUAAAUUUUGUUUUUAUAAGUACUGUGAGUCUUGAAAGUAAUUAUGAAUGUUGAGUUACUUUUACUGUUAAACUGCUGAGAAAAAUAAAUGACUAAAACAUACACGAUGCAUGAUAAAAUUUACUUAUACAUAUAAAAACAUGUACAUAUAAUAUUUUUAAUUGUGUAUUAUAAUAAUUUUUAUUAAAAAUAGAAUUUAUAAUAUAUUGAUUUUAUUUUUUAUUUUUAUCUUAAAAUACUCGAUAAUUAAAUUUAUAAUAUAGUAAAACAAAUUUAAUAAUAAUUCAACCAACAAAUUGAAAUUAAUAAAUUUAUAUUGAUAAAUUAUAAUAAAAUUUUAUUCAAAUAUUGAUUUUGUUUCUAAUUUGAAUAAAGAUAAAAAAUUAUUUUGGGUUUAAGUAAUAAUUUUAAGGAUAUUUAUGGAAUUAAAUCAAGGGAUAAAAUUAAUUCUCAAAAUUAGAAUCUAAAAGCUAAUUCUUCCUUACUUUUCAAAAUUAGUUGUAGGAUGGGUUAAUUUUGAUUUGAUUAAAGUAAUUUUGAUUUUUUUUUAUCAAACACUAAAAUUAGUUUUUAAAUUUUCAAAAUCACUUUUAAGCUUUCUAAAAUUAAUCCUAAACAGACCCUAAAUGGUGAAAGUUGCUCUUUUUAUUCCCAUGAACAUAGGCUAAGCACUGAACUAUGUAAAUUCUCUAUGUUUUAUUUUUUUAUAUCGUCUUGUUUGUGUAAUUUUUCAAUUGACCAAAAAUCAGCGCUGACAUUGUCUAUCUCUAUAACCUGUGAUAAUAUAGUGGUAAAACUAGUAUUAAGUUAAUUUCAAUCAACUAAAGUUAUUAAGUCCUCCUUUUUUCAACUUAAUGAAAAUUUGUAGUUAUUAAUCAUUAAGUUAUUAAGAAAACUUUCUUAAAUUUUUGUUUAAUCUAAAAAGUCUAAAUGAUGUCAUUAAAAGAUAUUUUCUAAAACAUGUGUAACUAAUUAAUUUUUAUCCUUACCUAGUAUUAUUACCCAUCUUAAUAAAUUGUGAUAAUAUAGUGGUAAGACUACUAUUAUUUUCUUCAAAUUUACAUUAUUUUUCUUUAUAACUUUAUAUGAAUAUUUUUUGUCUAAAAACAUCAUAAACUAGAACAAAAUUGAUUAACAUAUAUUGUAUUCAAUUAAACAUGAAUUAUGUUAUGAUAAUAUAUUAUUUUAUUUAUAUUCUUUGAGAUAUUUAUUGUUUGUUUAACAUUUAUAAUUUACAAGGGCACACAUAUACAAAUACUAAUUUUCAUAUUUUUUAAGUUAAAAAAAUUAAUACUUAUUUCUAACGAUUCAAAUAAAAGAAACAUUAUACAUUCAAUUUUUUUUUUAAAUUCAGACUAAUUUAAAUUUUUUAAAAAUAAUUGAUAUCCCCAUCCAAAUUAUAUAUAUAUAUAUAUAUAUAUAUAGAGUCUGUCACCUCUCAACAAAACCAAUCAUGCUCACACGGCACAUGAUGGAGUUGUAAAAUUGUAGCUCUCUUCUCAUCAUACGUUUAAACACUGUCAAUUUUAAUUCAUUCGUACUCCUCUUUUGUUUUCAAAUGAAUGUAUAUCUUGCAAAGAGCUGUAUAUAGCAUCUCUAAUUAUGAAUAACCCCAUGCAAGCUAGCUCACAACAGAAAAUUAGAAACUUAUUAUACAAAUUACUCAUAUAAUUAACAAAAAGAAAAAUGUACUUAUUUACAGGACACUACAACAAAAUCAGUUUUUAUUCCGGAUGUCGUAAUUAAGUCCUAAUUAAAAUUUGAAACAAAAUCUUCGUUCAUAAGUAUAUAUAUAUAUAUAUAUAUAUAUGGUUGGCUUUUAGCAGUUAUUUAUGUCAAGAUCGCUUUAGAUCAAAAUUUUAACAAAAUAUAAGCGUUUGAAUGAGACAACUUUUACACCAUAAGAAAUAAGUCUAAAUAACAUAUGCCAGCAACACAAACUAAUUUACACCAUCCUUGUUGUCCCAAAUACGUUCCUUUCUACUUUAAAAGAUGCUAAUGCUAAAUCUGCAACUUUGCAAGAUUCAUUUUCAUAACAGCAUGAACCAAGAAGUUUAAUAAGACUCCAAAACUGUACAACAAACUUGGUGAUCACAAGCUUCCUUAAUUCUUAUUAACAAACUCAUUAACGAAUGUGACUGAACAAUAAUUUUUUAGCCCUGUGAUCACGCCAACAACUUUAAACCUUAGAAUAUGCAUCUCAUCAUAGUAUCUGCACUACCUAACUUUUGAAACUUGCAUCAGAUAGCCAUCAUUAUAUUAAGCCACCAAAAAAUUUCACAUCACCUAGUUUCUACCACCACCUAUCUUUUAUAAGAAGUUCAUGUAACCAUAUAGUCACCAAAAUAAUCUGCACUACCUAAUUUUUGAAACUUGUAUCAUCAAAACACUUUUUCCAAAAAAUCGGGAGAACCUCCCAUCGGCUAAAUGAAAAACUUAAUUUGAGUUUCAUUCUGCUCUGAAGAACAAAAAGUCCAAAGAAAAACUUUAUUUGACCUUUUUGUUAUUCAAUAAAUAAAAAUGACAAACAAUGUCUUCAACUAACAAACAUAAAAGAAGCUGUCCUGGCACCGUAUUACCCGACUCCUUAUUAAUCAAUCCAAAAUAAAAAUACAAGAGCCAUAGGGGCUAGCCAGACGCAAGGCUAGAGUUCAACACUCCAUGCCAAGCUAGUGUCCAAAUCUGCAAGCCAAUCUAUCUUCUCCCAAAUGUCCUCACCGUUAAAAAUGUACCUUUUGACGUUGUUUACACAAUUAGAUGUAUACUCAACCACAACUUCCUCUAUGCACUGCCGCCAGCAUGAGAUGGGACGGGAUUUGCAGCAUUGAGCAAUCCCUCCUUCAUAUACUGCCUGCUUCUUAUAAGAAAACUCAAACUGAAACAAAAGGACAAGGCACUUAUAAGCAAAGCAGCGUUUGUUACAAGCACACAAAACAAAGGCAUAAACGUAAAAUGGACCAACUUAAGUACCAGCAUUACAUGUGUAUCAUAAUCACAUAAUUCUCACAGUAUAAACCAAGAACUAAUUCAGACCAAUGCAAAAUCUUCAGUACCUUAAAAGAGAACCAGUUCAAGUAAAAUGAUUUGAUUGUAACAGUCCUUAAAUGAGGUGAAAUCCAGAGCAAACCAUCGAUAGUGUUUUUAAUUGCGACUCGCACACGGGUUCCAGUUAUUACAAAGUCCAGGUUGUUGUAACCAUAGAAUGGGGAAGAUUGGAUUUGCCUCAAGUCUUCUGGAAUAUCCGCAUUCUGCACAAAAGAAUUUGAAUAAUAUAUAAGAAAUAAAAAAGUAUGUAAAAUAGUAAACAGCUCGAUAUUUAAAUGUAUACAUAUAGAAUGCAAGAAGUGACAUACCUCACCCUUGUAACUUUCCAAAUUCACCCCUUUGGAAACAUUAUGGAACAUUGCAAGGAGUCCAAUAUACUCAGAAUACCAGUCAAUGUCGCUGUUAUUCUUGUCGAAAUUGAGAUGAGUUUCCAACAAAGUCAUAGCACCUAUAGAGAAGGAUACCACAUCACCUUCAUAUCUGAAAAUACUUAAAUUAGGAGCCUCAAUCUUGACUUCAAUCAACCCUGCACAUUCAAAGAUCUUCAGCGUCUUAAGACUGAGACUUGAAAUCUUAAUACUCUUCAACUUGUCACAACCAACCAAAUUCAAAUUCUCGAGGAAUGGAAAGUUAGGAAUUUGGCUACAAAGCCACUCAUCCUUCAGAGAAAGCAGGCGCAGAGUUAAAAAUUUAAUAUUCUUACAGGAGGCUACAUUGAUCUCGCAUGGUAAGCUUAAUUGAAUGCUAACUGUCUUCACAUUCAGAGCUUGGAUAGAAAGCCAUAGAACUUCCAGACAGUUACGAACCUUGAAUUCAUUGAGUUUGGUAAGACCAGAUAGAUCUAGAGUAUUAAAGCCAAGGCAGUUAACCAGACUUAGAUGUUCAAUCAAAGGACAGCCAUCAACUAGGCUCUCAAGGACUAGAUCGGCAGCAUAAACGCUUGUGAGACAUAAUUUUUUCAAAGAAGAUAACUUCACACUUCUCAGAGACUGCAGCUUACAACAACUUAAGGCUAACACUUGUAUUGAUUUUGAGCAUAAAACCUCUUGAGGCAAAUUGUAGCAGCGCUUGUUACGAGCGUCAACUGAAGGCAUUCCUGGUCUAGUAUCAACAACACGUGCACUAGUAUGAAAUGGAAGUGCGAGUUUCAGCUCUUUGACAUCACUUUCUAAUGCAGAGAAGAUACACCGGUCUACAAAUGGUCCGAGUUCUUUUACCCGUAAUUCAUACAAGUCAAGUGUGAACUUGUCUAACCUUAUCAUCUCCCUGCGGCGGGUGCGCAGAGUUCCCUCUACAUAAUUUAAUGCCCUGCUUAACUUCUCAUCUCCAAGUUGAG
rnacentral:lncRNA from 1 species